GUCAAACACGGGUUGUUGCUGGCCUCCAAACGGGGGCACGUGCACGCUCUGUUUACACAUCCACUCACACCUGUGCACCCUCUGUAGUCCUAUGGUUCGGAAGACCCCGUCUUCCUUCUGUAGCUCUACGUCUUUACACACACACUGUAGCGAUGUCUCAUGGAAUGUUUUUAUGCGUUUAACGCGAUACAAUACAACUUUCAGCAACGGAUCUCUUGGCUCUCGCAUCGAUGAAGAACGCAGCGAAAUGCGAUAAGUAAUGUGAAUUGCAGAAUUCAGUGAAUCAUCGAAUCUUUGAACGCACCUUGCGCCCCUUGGUUAUUCCUUGGAGCAUGCCUGUUUGAGUAUCAUGAACACCUCAACUCUCAUGGUCUUCCAUGAUGAGCUUGGACUUUGGGGGUUUGCUGGCCCUGCGGCCGGCUCCUCUCAAAUGAAUCAGCUUGCCAGUGUUUGGUGGCAUCACGGGUGUGAUAACUAUCUACGCUCGCGGUCGUCUGCCAGGUAACCCUCAGCGAUGAGGGUUCAUUGGAGCUCAUAAACGUCUCUCCUC
rnacentral:sRNA from 1 species